CUCACACUGUGACUCUCACCGGUCCCUCGCCGUGGGGUUUUCGUCUGGUGGGUGGACGGGACUUUCAGCACACCGCUCAUCAUUUCAAAAAUAACACCUGCGAGUAAAGCAGCGCUGGGCUGCUUGUGCCCUGGAGACACCAUCCUAGCCAUCAAUGGAGAAAGCACAGAGACCAUGACACACAUGGAGGCUCAGAACCGCAUUAAAGCCUGCACAGAUCAGCUUGUGUUGGCCAUCAGCAGAUCUGGAAAGGUUUGGUCUCCAACUGGAAUAGAAGAAAACAAGACAAGUCCAUUCAGCGGCACACUGGAGUCUGAGUCACAGGCAUUUAGCAGAUGCUUCUCUGGAGCAGUAUAAUUCUGUUGGCUUCACAUCUGAGCAUGUUGUGAUCAACAGAUGUUUUUUUGACGAGCAGCAGCUGCCUUGACCAUUCACAGGAAUAUAAACAACUAUACAAUAGUGAAAUGAGUCUUCAAAUCUUAAAAUAAAUAAAUAAAUAACAUUACAAAAGCCACGUUCGAAAUUUCAGGACCAUUUGAAGUCAAAUCCAUUUAUGUUUUGCCUUCUGAUCUUCUGUUUUGUAUGGAAGCUUGUUUCUGACACAGGCAAAAAAAAUAAAUAAAUCCAAAUUCU